AGAGUUGAUCCUGGCUCAGGAUGAACGCUAGCUACAGGCUUAACACAUGCAAGUCGAGGGGCAGCAUUGGAGUAGCAAUACUCAGAUGGCGACCGGCGCACGGGUGAGUAACACGUAUCCAACCUGCCGCUUACUCGGGGAUAGCCUUUCGAAAGAAAGAUUAAUACCCGAUGGUAUAAAGAGUUCGCAUGUUCUCUUUAUUAAAGAAUUUCGGUAAGCGAUGGGGAUGCGUUCCAUUAGAUAGUUGGCGGGGUAACGGCCCACCAAGUCUACGAUGGAUAGGGGUUCUGAGAGGAAGGUCCCCCACAUUGGAACUGAGACACGGUCCAAACUCCUACGGGAGGCAGCAGUGAGGAAUAUUGGUCAAUGGACGAGAGUCUGAACCAGCUAAGUAAGCGUGAAGGAUGACUGCCCUAUGGGUUGUAAACUUCUUUUAUAAGGGAAUAAAGUGAGGGACGUGUCCCUUUUUGUAUGUACCUUAUGAAUAAGGAUCGGCUAACUCCGUGCCAGCAGCCGC
rnacentral:rRNA from 1 species